rnacentral:rRNA from 1 species
AGAGAGAGACAUGCGCGCAUAUCAAUAAGCGGAGGAAAAGAAACUAACUAGGAUUCCCCUCAGUAACGGCGAGUGAAGCGGGAAGAGCUCAAAUUUGAAAUCUUCAAGGUUUUACCUUGACGAAUUGUAGUUUAAAGAAGUGUUUUCUGUUAGGAAGUUUGGUAAAAGUUCUUUGGAAUAGGACAUCAUAGAGGGUGAGAAUCCCGUAUUUGGUCAUUCCUCCUAGCGUUGUGAUACACUUUCAACGAGUCGGAUUGUUUGGGAAUGCAGUCCAAAAUGGGUGGUAAAUUUCAUCUAAAGCUAAAUAUUGGCGAGAGACCGAUAGCGAACAAGUACCGUGAGGGAAAGAUGAAAAGAACUUUGAAAAGAGAGUUAAACAGUACGUGAAAUUGUCAAAAGGGAAGCGUUUGACACCAGUGUUGUUUUUCCGAAAAUCAAUUACGAAUGUUUUAUUUUUGAGGAGUUAUGACUUCAUCGGCUUGCUCCUUUCUUUACGAAACUUUCUUAAUACACUUUUCGGUUAACAAGUCAACAUCAAUUUCUUUUGUUGUAAAAGGGUAUGAGGAAGGUGGCUUUCUUUUCGGAGAAAGUGUUUAUAGCCUUGUGCCUCUGCAAUCGGAGAGAUUGAGGUCUGCAGCGUAGAUCCUUCGGGGUUAGAUACGUUAGAUGCUAAGUUAUAGCUUUUUCAUAGACAACUUGUUGACUAUGUUUAGUCUUGUAGCUUACUCGCUGACGCUAUUUUACCUACGCUUAGGAUGUUGAUAGUCACAGCGUGUAC